rnacentral:misc_RNA from 1 species
CAGAGUUCAUGCCCUUACGGGUAGAUCUCCACCCUAUGUUAUCGUUACCUUUGUUGCUUUGGCGGGCCGUCAGGCCUCGGUCAGACUACCGGCUCCGGCUGGUAAGUGCCCGCCAGAGGAUAUCAAACCUUGAAUUUAAUGUCGUCUGAGUACUAUAUAAUAGUUA